UACGUAGGGUGCGAGCGUUAAUCGGAGUUACUGGGCGUAAAGCGUGCGCAGGCGGUUUUGUAAGUCUGACGUGAAAUCCCCGGGCUUAACCUGGGAAUUGCGUUGGAGACUGCAAGGCUGGAGUCUGGCAGAGGGGGGUAGAAUUCCACGUGUAGCAGUGAAAUGCGUAGAGAUGUGGAGGAACACCGAUGGCGAAGGCAGCCCCCUGGGUCAAGACUGACGCUCAUGCACGAAAGCGUGGGGAGCAAACAGG
rnacentral:rRNA from 1 species